AUUGAACGCUGGCGGCAGGCCUAACACAUGCAAGUCGAACGAGUGGCGUACGGGUGAGUAAUUUCUGGGAAACUGCCUGAUGGAGUGGGAUAACUCCUGGAAACGGUAGCUAAUACCGCAUACCAUCCGAUUUGCCCAGAUGGGAUUAGCUUGUUGGUGUGGUAACGGCUCACAAAGGCGACGAUCCCUAUCUUGUAGGAGAGGAUGACCAGCCCCACUGGAACUGAGACACGGUCCAGACGCCUACUGGAGGCAGCAGUGGGGAAUAUUGCACAAUGGGAGCAAGCCGGAUGCAGCCAUGCCGCGUGUAUGAAGAAGGCCUUCGGGUUGUAAAGUACUUUCAGCGGGGAGGCGUUACCCGCAGAAGAAGCACCGGCUAACUCCGUGCCAGCAGCCGCGGUAAUUC
rnacentral:rRNA from 1 species